rnacentral:tRNA from 1 species
GGCCUCGUAGCUCAGCUGGUAGAGCAUACGCGUACAAAGCGUAGGCGGCGUCCAUGCGUGGGUUCGAAUCCCACUGAGGCUA